CCCCGGAGGACUGCCCGAUGGCGGCGGCACUGUUCGAGCCGCCCUGCAGCGGUGUGGAGACUCCGACCAGUUGGGGCAGGCGGCUCAGGUCGCGGCCAGCCAGGGGUUGGGAAACUAGUUUCCAUGGCCAAACCUAGCCCACCGUCUGUUUUGGUGUCCAUGGAUUGGCGGGGACAGCUCUGCUUAAGGAUGUAGUAGCUCUGCAGGUUGGCUAGUUUCCUGUUCUUCCCAACCUGCGCUAUGGACUUCAUCAGAUUUCAGCAUCAGAGAGAAUAUGGAAGGACAUCGACCCUAACUUCAUCCAGUGAGGAUUUCCACACACCAUACACUCUCUGAGAGUUCUCUUGGCUUUGUGUGCACACCUCCAGUGACAGGGAGCUCGCUAUGUCAUGAGGCAGCCUGCUCCCUUGUGGCUAUCACUGAACCAACUAUUAAGCCUUCUUAUACAAACAGUCCCUGACUUACUGUUAGACUUACAACUUUUUGAUUUUACAGUGGUGCAAAAGCAAUAUGCAUUCCAUAGAAACUGUAUUUCAAAUUUUGAAUUUUGAUCUUUUCCAGGCUAGCAACAUAUGAAGACCAACCUUCUAUUUUUAAAAUAGGCUUUGUGUUAGAUGCUUUUGCCCAACUAUAGGUUAAUGUAAAUGUUCUGAGAAUAUUUGAGGAAGGCUAGGCUAAACUGUGAUCUUUGGGAGCUUAGAUAUGUUAAGUGCAUUUUCAACUUACAAUAUUUUCAACUUACGAUGAGUUUAUUGGGAUGAAGCCCGUUGUAAGUAAAGGAGCAUCUGCAUUAAGCUAAAAUCCAUGUCUAUAACUUCCUCAGUAAUAUCAAGUUUGUUCCUUGGAGCCAGAGAAUAAACUGAAUCCUUUUCCA
rnacentral:lncRNA from 1 species